rnacentral:tRNA from 1 species
GCCCGAGUGGCGGAACUGGCAGACGCCUUGGACUUAAAAUCCAAUGAGGGGUAACCCUCGUAUCGGUUCAAAUCCGAUUUCGGGCACCA